GUCGAGCGGACAGAUGGGAGCUUGCUCCCUGAUGUUAGCGGCGGACGGGUGAGUAACACGUGGGUAACCUGCCUGUAAGACUGGGAUAACUCCGGGAAACCGGGGCUAAUACCGGAUGGUUGUUUGAACCGCAUGGUUCAAACAUAAAAGGUGGCUUCGGCUACCACUUACAGAUGGACCCGCGGCGCAUUAGCUAGUUGGUGAGGUAACGGCUCACCAAGGCAACGAUGCGUAGCCGACCUGAGAGGGUGAUCGGCCACACUGGGACUGAGACACGGCCCAGACUCCUACGGGAGGCAGCAGUAGGGAAUCUUCCGCAAUGGACGAAAGUCUGACGGAGCAACGCCGCGUGAGUGAUGAAGGUUUUCGGAUCGUAAAGCUCUGUUGUUAGGGAAGAACAAGUACCGUUCGAAUAGGGCGGUACCUUGACGGUACCUAACCAGAAAGCCACGGCUAACUACGUGCCAGCAGCCGCGGUAAUACGUAGGUGGCAAGCGUUGUCCGGAAUUAUUGGGCGUAAAGGGCUCGCAGGCGGUUUCUUAAGUCUGAUGUGAAAGCCCCCGGCUCAACCGGGGAGGGUCAUUGGAAACUGGGGAACUUGAGUGCAGAAGAGGAGAGUGGAAUUCCACGUGUAGCGGUGAAAUGCGUAGAGAUGUGGAGGAACACCAGUGGCGAAGGCGACUCUCUGGUCUGUAACUGACGCUGAGGAGCGAAAGCGUGGGGAGCGAACAGGAUUAGAUACCCUGGUAGUCCACGCCGUAAACGAUGAGUGCUAAGUGUUAGGGGGUUUCCGCCCCUUAGUGCUGCAGCUAACGCAUUAAGCACUCCGCC
rnacentral:rRNA from 1 species